rnacentral:rRNA from 1 species
UACGUAGGGGGCUAGCGUUAUCCGGAAUUACUGGGCGUAAAGGGCGCGUAGGCGGUCAUUUAAGUCGGGUGUGAAAUCUUGGGGCUUAACCUCAAGUUUGCAAACGAUACUGGGUGGCUUGAGUGCAGGAGAGGGCAGUGGAAUUCCUAGUGUAGCGGUGAAAUGCGUAGAUAUUAGGAGGAACACCAGUGGCGAAGGCGGCUGCCUGGACUGUAACUGACGCUGAGGCGCGAAAGCGUGGGGAGCAAACAGGAUUAGAUACCCGCGUAGU